rnacentral:lncRNA from 1 species
GGAGGGGGUUGUUCAAGGGAUGGGGACGAUCAGGGUCUCUGGGAAGUGCUGACGUGUGCGCGUGUGCGGUGUGUUGCUUGUGGGUGCGUGUGUGGUGUGUGCAUGUGUGUGCGCGCGCGUGUGUGCGGGGUGUGCCGUGAGCGUGUGCCCGCGGUUCGGGGGAUGAGUAGGGGCGCUGACUUUUAGGACCAGCCAUUUGAGUCAAGCUGGAGACGACGUCUUAGAACCUAGGAUGAGUCUCGUUUGGUUUUAGUCUGCAAAGCUCGUCUGCAUCAGACAGGAAUUUUCCCCAGACGCGGGUGCACGUGAAUUAAUUCAUCAGAAGGCGGUUCACGGCCUGAGUGAGGGGGACGAGGGCGGCGAAUUCCUCCGCCUCAUUCCUACCCUGACGAUUCGAGCACCAGCCUUAGCAAGUUCUGGCCUGUGGAGCCGUCAUCCAGAGCGCACAGCUUCAUGCCCUUGAAGGGCGCAGUGUGUCCCGUGGUGCCCGGUGGGCCCGGACAGAGACCCCAGAGGCUCUGUCUGAAGGAAGCUGCACCCACAGACUCCAUCCAGGCAGCGCGGGCGCGGUCCUGUCGCCUACCUUUCUCGGAAGCCAUCUGCCCAUGUGAAUCUAUGUGAAGGCCCUUCAUGCGCUCCUGGACAUCUGCGUGGGAUUUACUUCAACUGCUAUCGCUGCGAGGAGGACGAGCAUGUUUCACUGUAUUUUUAGCAGAGAGUGCAGAUUUUAGAACCUCGCGAACGGUCCUGUAUCUC